AUUUGAAAGCGUUUACUCUGGAGGAACUAUGGACACACCUGAUUCUGGAAGAGUUUUCCAGUACUGGCAUUGUUGUGGCUCUGAAGAUCCUUUUGAUCCAGGGUGCACUGCAGCACCUCAUUCUUCUUAUGAUGAAUAGGGUGGAACCGGCCUUAAUUUUCAACGGGGGCAAAUUUAUAAGUAACUGUUGGUGUUGCCUCAAAUUAGGCUCAACCCUUCACUACAAGAAAAUGGAUCAUCAUUUCUUGUAAUUGAUUAAUUUGCAAAAAAAAAAAUCAAAAUGAUGUAAUUGAUUAAUCAUACAAUUUCUACAAAAUAUAUAUUAGAUUUGCAUUGAAUUUGGUUCGACUCCUA